rnacentral:lncRNA from 1 species
AUGCUCGAAGCACACCUUCCAGGCCUGGGGGCUGGGGAGGGAUCUGUUGGAUCUCCUGUGUGUUAUUGUGACAAGCACAAAGGGUGGACUCUUGGCCACGUGUUCCACGUCUCAAAGCAGUGUCUGUGGCUCAGGCUGCCAUUGCCUCAAGCAGCCUCCCUAAGGCAGGAAUUUUUACAGCAGGGGAGACUGAAGAGCACAGAUGCUCUCCUGCAUGGACAGCCACUCUCUGCUAAGGAGAAAACCUGGUGUUCCCAGGCUUCUGAUUUUUCAGAAGAUAACAUUUUCCAAACUGCUCUGACUGCCACGGGAGUGCUGAGGAAGUUUGUAUCAUCCAGAAUUUAACCCCUUCCUCAAAAUGUAUGUUUCCUGACAAAGUGUAUUUAAUUUAAACUGUUCUUCUAAUUUAUACUUGAAUCCACUGAAAAUAGAAAUUUAAGUCAUACUCCAUUGUUAGUGUAUUAGGGCAGCACAGCCCAUCAGAGUGAACAAGUCUAUGCCAGUAGAACACUGAGCCUCAGGGCCCUGAGAUUUCAGAGCCCUGUGUCUGUAGGCUUGAAGUUCAAGAACCCUUAAGACAUAAUCUGUACAACCAGCCUUUUCUCUGUAAUAGUUGUUUUAUAGUAGAUGGACAACAUUAGCUGGGGAGAAAGUGGGGUUGUUAGGAGGCCAUGUCACUGAUCAGAGUCCCUGUGCAGGGAAGCGCUCCUGUACCUUUGCAGGCUCGCAUUGCAUUGCCUGUCCCAGCAAUGUGUCCCCUCAGGGCCCCUGCAGGAAAAAAAACCCAAACAGGUCUGCUCUAGAUUCAUCAGCUGGGUAUAAUGGUGGAGCUGAGCUGCAGAGCACAACUCUCCGUAGGAAAGAGUUGAUACCAAGACAGUGAAAUGGUCUGAUUAUGUCUCCCCAUUAUAUCCUUUUCCUGUCACCAGUCCAGCCCUCUGAUAUCCACAGGAGACCCAGUGGAAUGUUUCCUUCUCUGGGGAUUCUGGUUGCCUUCAUGAGGUUAGCAGCAUGCUUGGUCCUUGCAAAAUUUGUGGCUUCUUCCUGACCACAGCAAAUGGCACUUUGGCCAAGAGCUUGUAGAGCUCCUUGAGCUGUUGAGUGGAAGGCACUGGAUGAUGGAUGAAGGCAUAUAAAUUUCAAGCUUUUAUUUAGAAAUAAAAUAUAUUUUUUAAUAAAGUAC